GAUCCUGGCUCAGAACGAACGCUGGCGGCAGGCUUAACACAUGCAAGUCGAACGCCCCGCAAGGGGAGUGGCAGACGGGUGAGUAACGCGUGGGAAUCUACCGUACCCUACGGAAUAACGCAUGGAAACGUGUGCUAAUACCGUAUACGCCCUACGGGGGAAAGAUUUAUCGGGGUAUGAUGAGCCCGCGUUGGAUUAGCUAGUUGGUGGGGUAAAGGCCUACCAAGGCGACGAUCCAUAGCUGGUCUGAGAGGAUGAUCAGCCACAUUGGGACUGAGACACGGCCCAAACUCCUACGGGAGGCAGCAGUGGGGAAUAUUGGACAAUGGGCGCAAGCCUGAUCCAGCCAUGCCGCGUGAGUGAUGAAGGUCUUAGGAUUGUAAAGCUCUUUCACCGAUGAAGAUAAUGACGGUAGUCGAGAGAGUC
rnacentral:rRNA from 1 species